AAACACCCAAGAAUUAUCAAUAAAAAAAUAAAUUAAAAAAAAAAAUAAAUAAAUAAAUCCAGCAAAAAUAAAAAUAAAAAAUAAAAUCCCCUUGAAUACAUUUGAGGUAAUGUUGUAGUUUUCAGCUCCUCCCACGAGAGAUUUUAUGGAGUGCCUAACUGUGCUACCCGGGUGCUGCUCCUGUCGUUAGUGGUGGCACCCAGGAGGAAUUAAAAUUACAAGAGUGUUUCCUUCCAGAUGUUGUUGCUACAGGCUCAAGGUGCUCUUUUAACUGGGACAUCAGGCUUUCUUGAAAUAGACAAGAAUUCUAGAAACAUGACAUUGUGCCUGAUUCAUCGCUUCAACUUGCCACUGACUCAUUCUCUCCUUGAUAGGUUAUUCAACAGUAACUUUAAUUACAUCAUUUACUUAUUGUUUUCUUCCUUGAUUUAUUCUCUUUCUACAAUUCUUGUUUAUCAUCUCAGUGAUUGGACCAUCUCACCUCUGAGACUUGGGUAGAAUUCUGUGGACUCUGGAAAUAGACAUGGAGGUUUUCAUGUAUCUCUGUUAAUGUGUACAAACACCCCCAGGCUUGUACACUUGAAAUACAUCAGUAGGAAGGGUAGUUCUCAAUUUGCUAGUGUUUCACACAGCUUGUCUUAUUUAAUGAUCUCAGCUGCCCUAUGAAGUAGAUACCAUCCUAUUAAAAAAUGCAGGAGCAGAGGCUCUGAGAGGGGACUGUAACUUACCCAAGAUCAUGUGGUAGAUUGCAAAACUGGUUCCAAAUCCCUACCCUUCCCUGUACGCACACCUUUUGCCAUUCAUCUGCAAUGUCCUUUUCUGAUUCUGGGCUCAGCAAUAUAACUUGCUCUGGCCAACAGGAUAACAACAGCAAAUGUGAUGUAAGCAAAAGCUUGAGAAAUACUUGUGCAACUAAUCAUGUUUGCCUUCUCUCUUGUACCUGUGCCAUUGCCAUGAGAACAUGCCUGGGCUAGGAUUAGAGACACUUGGAGCAGAGCUGAGUCAUCCCAGCUGUCCCAGUUGAGGCCAGCCUAGGUCAGUCGAUGGCAACCAAGCCCUAAGCAUGUUAGUGAGCCCAGCCAUGAUCAGCACAACCACCUAGCCAACCAUCCCAGACCUGUGAUCAAUAAAGCCUUACUAUUCCAUACCACCUAGGUUUUGUGAUUAUUUAUUUCACAGAAUUAUUAUGGCAGUAUGUAACUGAUAGAAGCGGUGUACAGGGAAGAGUAUUUGUUAGUCCGUUUUCACACUGCUGAUAAAGACAUAUGCGAGACUGAGCAAUUUACAAAAGAAAGAGGUUUAAUGGACUUACAGUUCCACGUGGCUGGGGAAGCCUCACAAUUGUGGUGAAAGGUGAAAGUCACAUCUCACAUGGCAGCAGACAAGAGAAGAAGAGCUUGUGCAGGGAAACUCCCCUUUUAAAAACCAUCAGAUCUCAUGAUACUUAUUCACUAUCAUCAGAAUAGCCUGGGAAAGACCUGUCCCCAUGAUUCAGUUACUUCCCACCGUGUCACUCCCACAACAAGUGGGAAUUCAAGAUGAGAUUUGGGUAGGGACACAGCAAAACCAUAUUAGAGCAGAUCUCUGGAAUUGGGCAGGCCAAGGUUUGAAUCCCAUCUGUUAUUUGGAGUGUGUGUUUCUUUUUGAGACUAAUCUCCUUACCCUUGAAAUGAGGUAAUAUACUUCCCUCAUAGGGUUGCUGGGAAGAUUAAACACGAGGUGAAGUAAAUAAAGCCCCAGGGACAUAAGCAAAAAAUAAUGGCUUCUCACAGCAAUGCUCCAGAACAUACAACAAGGGAAUACUGGGCCCAGUCCCAGGACUAUCCAAGUGUGAAGCCAACACCUUUUCACAUCAACUCCAAGGUAAGGAUUAAGAACAGAAUGGCCUGGUUCUAAUCUUACCAUGAAAUGCUGCUCCCCUGAAUCUUCCAUUGCAGUAUAGAGAGCAGGACAGGCCUUUAAAAAAUUAAUGUUGCUUAAAUUUAGGAGCCUGAAAAAAAAGCCAAAUCCAAGAUUUUCCUUUGGACUUGUGGUUUUGCCAGAUAGGUGGCAGUGAUUUCGGGAAGGAGGGUUGCUUUUGUCCUGGGUAUGGGUGUGUUUCAAAGUCCUCCGGGCACAGUUGGGAGCAGGGGCCAGCCUGGCUGCGUUUGCCCUGACUCUGUUGGUUGCCCCUCUGCAUGCACAUGCAUUUUUGAUGACAGAUCAUUCAGGAAAUGUGAAUGUUUCCCUGGGAGGCUUUGCUUUUUUCACCUGGCCUUCUUUUCUGGGCCUCCUGUGGGGCUGCCCUUUCCCUUCCUUUGAAGCCAUUGUCUUCUUGACAUGAAAAAUGUACUCAGGUACGCUUAUGGCUAAUUAUCUCAAGGGGGAAGAAAAAACAAAAUGAACUCAAGGCUGAAAUAUAGAACCAUUAACUCUGUAAACUCUGAAAAGUCAUAAGACACUUUUUUAAAAUUAAAAAAAUACAUAUACAUUUGAAAUAGUUUCUUCUUAAACAGAUAAACAGAAUUAACUUGGGAUGUUUCCUACACAAUUUAGCUUCCUUCUCUCUCCCUCCACUCCCACCCCAGAUAGCUCACUUCCCUUUAUCAUCUCUGAUGCUGAUGAUGGGUGACAACAGUUAGCUGCACUGUACUCUGCCUCUAACUUAUUUUAUGACCUUGGAUAAGUUACAUGGCAUUUCUGAGCUUCUGCUUCUCAUAAGUAAGAUGACAUUGCUAUUACAUUUCUUUAAAACUUUUUUUAGUACUGUAAAACAAUAAUUUAUUACCUCUUGCAGUUCCAUGGGCUGACUGGACUCCACUGGGAGUUCUUGAUGUCUCUCGUGUGGUUGUGUGAGAUAGUGGCUGGGACUGGACUCAUCUGAAGGCUUGACUGGGCUGGAUGCCCAAGAUAGCCCACUUUUAGACAGAGGUGGCUGGCAGUUGAUGCUGACUGUCAGCUGGGGACUCAGCUGAGAGUGUUAACUGGAGUCCCUAGACGUGGCUUCUCCACAUGGCUUGGGCUUCUCAUGGAAGGGCACCUGGAUUCUGAGAGAGAGCAUCCCAAGAGACACAAGUGGAAAUGAUAAGGCUUCUUAUGACGUAGACUGGAGGUACUGAGACAUCACUUUUGCUACAUUAGAAGGUUAGAUGCUGACAUUUUAUGAUUUCACAACUUGGAUCCUCUGUCCUCUGAUACUGAAUCAGAUAGUAGUUUAUGGAGCUGAGCAGAGAGCCAGCUGGUCCUGGGCACAGAGGAGGCUGUGUUCCAUGCUGAAGACAAGAACAUAUGGUGGACGUACCAUCCUAACUAUCUGGGAAGGGAGCUUCGUGGCUACAUGGGAGUUAUCAUCUGCCAGUGCCGGCUGCAUCCUGGCUGUGCCCACCUCUGGACUCUGAAUCUCUGCACCUCAGUACCCCCAACCCCAACACGACUGUGAUGUUAGGCAUAUAUUAGGCAUGUGAAGAUGAGAAAGAGAAGAUACAGCUCCCAUGUUUAUCUCCAUGAGAAGAUAAGCCACAGGGAGAGAGAAAGACUGUUGUGCACGAGAGGGAGUGUCAAAUGCCAAAUGGAUGUCAGCAGUCGGGGUGUGCUAGAGGCACUCAGGGGAAGGGAGGCUGGGCAUAGAGGGUCAUGCUGGAGGAGGUGACUCUGGAUCUGAAUCUUGAAAGGUGAGUAGGAAUUACUCAAGGAAGGAAUGGGAAGGGCAUUUCAGGGGAGAGAUCCAUGUGAGUGAAAUAUGAGGACUGGCAGGGAACAGCAACCCACGUGGGUAACCGCAGAGUGACAGGAGGUGAGAGGUGGUGGGAGAUGGAGCUGGAGAUGCAGGCAGGGCCCAGGGUCAUGCAGGGCCUGGGAGGACAGGUUACAAUAUUCCCAUUUUCCUAGACUAGGACCUAGAAGCUCGGGAAGAUAAAGGGACUUGACUAAGGUCACAUAACUUGUAAGUGACCAGUCAGGCUUCGAACCCAGGACUCUGUGACGCCUCAGUCUCACCCCCUUUGCAUCAUCGUGUAAUGGCAGUUGCUGCUGCUGGUUUUCCCAGCUCCCUCUCCCAUUUCUCUGAGGCUCCUGGCAGACAAAGGGUGUUGCUUUUCUGCACCAUUUAUUGUAGUGACUUCAAUUAAACCAUCUUGUGCUGGAUCAGUGAGCAGCUCUAGGGAAUCGAUGAGCAGCACUGGCUACCAGGGAAGCAGAGUCUCCUCCCUUUGUUCCUGCCAAUCCUAGGUCUGGGUUCCUGUCCCCAGGUCUAGGGAGGACUCAAGAGAGGAAAUGGGGACCAGGGGGGCAGGUAGCAAAUCAUGAGACAAGGAAGCAAGUGUCUAUUACCUUCCUGACAUUGAGGGUGGGUGGCCAGCCCUUGGAUGUUCAUCUUUCCUGGCCCUGCCCACUGCUGCCCUUGCUCAGCUGCCUUCCUCUGGCUAAUUGGGACCUGCAGCUGCAGCUCCAAGACAAUGGGGCAUCCCACCUGGCUGCCUUCGGUGCAGGCCCAGUGUGCAAGGAACCUGGGCCCCAAGGAAGAGGAGCUAAGGGCCCUGUCCUAACUUGCUACAUGGCCUUUGGCAGAUUGCCUCCACUCUCUGAGGCUUCUUCUGGGGAAAAACAACAGGGUGGAAAUUGCAGUACAUGAUGCUGUUGUUCUCCACUUGUCGUCUUCAAUUCAUUGUCUCUCCUUCUUAGAAUUGCUCUGUGCCUCAGAAGGCUGAUCCCUGUGGAAUGAAUCAAUGGGUUCCUGUGUCUAUUGGCUCCAGUAUGAUUUGGCCACUGGGAGACACAGGCAGGAGGCUGGAAAGUGGGAGAGUAUUUCUUCUCUGCUACCUCUCUGCUUUGAUGCAGGGUUGGGCCAGUGCCAUUCUGCCUGGCUAUAGCUUCUUUCCAGCAGUCCUUCCCACUGCUCCAGGCCUCAGUGGGCUCCAGUAACCUUCUUUAGGCCCAUGGGUGGUUUCCAGCAUGAUAUGGUUUGGAUCUGUGUCCCUGCCCAAAUCUCAUGUGGAAUUGUAAUCCCCAUUGUUGGAGGUGGGGCCUGGUGGGAGGUAAUUGGAUCAUGAGGGCAGUUUUAAUGCUUAAGCACCAUUCCCCUAGUGCUGUUCUCAUGAUAGGGUUCUCAUGAGAUCUGGUUGUUUAAAAGUGUGUAGCACCUCCACCCUCUCUCUCUUCCUCCUGCUCUGGCCAUGUGAAUGCCUGCUCUGGCUUUGCCUUCUGCCAUGAUUAUAAGUUCCCUGAGGUCUCCCCAAAAGCAGAUGCUGCCAUGCUUCCUGUACAGCCUGUGGAACUGUGAGCCAAUGAAACCUCUUUUCUUUUUUUUUGAGACACAGUCUCGCUCUGUGGCCCAGGCUGGAGUGCAGUGGCAUGAUCUCGGCUCGCUGCAACCUCCACUUCCCGGGUUCAAGUGAUUCUCCCACCUCAGCCUCCUGAGGAGCUGGGAUUACAGACACUCCCCACCAUGCCUGGCUAAUUUUUGUAUUUUUAGUAGAGAGAGGGUUUCACCAUGUUGGCCAGGCUGGUCUCGAACUCCUGACCUCAAGUGAUCUGCCUGCCUCCGCCUCUCAAAGUGCUGGGAUUACAGGCAUGAGCCACCAUACCCAGGGCCUCUUUUCUUUAUAAAUAACCGAGUCUCAGGUAUUUAUAGCAAUGCGGCAACACACUAAUACACAGCAGUUUGCAGUCUCUGGGUUUCUCAAUAUUCUUCUUGGUUUCUUUAAUCUAGCCUUCUGUAAAUAGUACCUCCUCAGUAAGGUCUCUUCAGUUGAACUAUUUGAGCAGAGUUCUGUUUCCUGUUGGGACACUGAUGUAUUCUCUGAAGGCUCUUUCCAACUCUGAAGUCUUACACGUUCGUGAGGGGACGAUGUAACGACCUGGCUGACUCUCAGGCACCGGAGCCUGGGUUAUCCCGUGACAGUUUACAGGCUGAGUGAUCCCAGCUCCUCGGUAGUUCUUUCUUCCCCUCCUUUGGUCCUCAACCUUCACAGCCUUUGCUCAGAUUCCCAUCAUUUAUUUCUUGUUUUAAUCCGACUUUAUUGAGGUAUAAAUUACAAAUAGCAAACUACAUCCAUGAAAGUAUACAGUUAGAUGAAUACCUAUCUGUUAAAGCUUGAAUGUUUGUGUCCCUCUAAAUUCAUGUUGAAACUUAAUCCCCAUUGUGGUGGUAUUAACAGGUGGGGCCUUUUGGGAACUGAUUAAGUCAUGAGGGUUCUUCCCUUGGGAAUGGGAUUAAUGCUCUUGUAAAAGAGGCUUCAGAGGCUGGGCGUGGUGGCUCACGCCUGCAAUCUCAGCACUUUGGGAGGCUGAGGUGGGCGGAUCACAUGAGGUCAAGAGUUCAAGACCAGCUGGCCAACAUGGUGAAACCCCGUCUCUACUCAAAAUACAAAAAUUAGCUGGGCAUGGUGGCAGGCACCUGUAAUCCUAGCUACUCAGGAGGCUGAGGCAGGAGAAUCACUUGAACCUAGGACACGGAGGUUGCAGUGAGCCUAGAUUGUGCCAUUGCAUUCCAGCCUCGGCAACACGAGCAAAACUCUGUCUCAAAAAAAGAGGCUUCAGAGAGCUGCCUGGCCCUUCUCAUCCUUCUGCCAUGUGAAGACAUAGCGUGCAUCCCCUCUGGAGGGUAUAGGAACAAGGUGUCAUCUUGGAAGGAGAGAGCAAGCCCUCACCAGACACCAAAUCUACCGGCACCUUGACCUCCAGAACUUGCAGUUCCUGUUCUCCUGGCUGGACCCUGACUGAUGCCAUGGGGAAAGCCCUCGGGCUCGUGGACCUUAAAUUCCAGGUCCUGUUGUGCCCAACUCAUGAUUUAUCCAGGUCACACCAGUCUGGUCUGUCACAGUAAGAGGGCCACCAGGAAACACACCUUCAGGAAGCACCUUUUCUGUUCUAUCCCAAAGGGCACCAUCACAUACACUAUAAUAUGAAUCAUGACCCCCGGAGUUGUGUGGAGUUUCUGCAUCUCUCCCUCCCCACUGUGGCUACCCUCAUCCAGCAACCAUCCUGUCUCUCACCGGUAUUACCGCAGCUGAGACCCAGGUCUUAAGGAAGCUGAGACCCAGGCCAGCAGGGGCCUCACAGCUUGGAAAAAGAGGAGGGUGUAAGACUCUGGAUGAAGCUGAGAGAUCCUUCCAUGCUUGGCUGAGAGACUACACAGACAUGAGCUUCAGGAGACUCCAAAGCCUCGGAUCCCCUUCUAAACUAGCACUGAAUUCUGAUUGGCUGUCUUUGCCUGCCUCAGUUUGUUCCUUUUACUGAUUGGCUAGGUUCUUCUGCCCAUGGCAGAGCCCUGCUCCAGCCACCGGAUCCUCCCACCUGCCACAGUGUCACCUGGGAUUGGCUGGGCUCUGAAAGGCCAGGCUGGCUUGACUCUUGCCAUCAUCAGAUUCUUCCUCAUUAAACAAAUGAAUCACAAUCCUAAUUAAUUUGAGCAACAGAAUUUAUGUAACUACUCCCAGCAGGAUGUCUGCUCUCAGUCAGCAGAGAGAUUACUUCCUCUCUCUGGGAAAUUCCAGCCUUGCUGGUCAAUAAGCCUUAAUGAUGACUGAAAUCUCCCAUCUGUCUCUGCUCAGGGCAGGUAACCCCUACUAAGCAGACACCCAGUUGGCUCGAGGCAGUACCCCGGGCACCGGCAGGACAAGGACAACGAUCUCCCAGCCUAGAUGUGUCCUGAGCCACAUGGAGCACACAGAUUACAGGAUCUGACUCCCAUUUGGGCCUUCCACCUCCGCUGGCCUAAGCAGUCAAGUGUCAGAGAGCACUGGACCUAACAGCUCCCUCACCAGAGCAGCUGUGAUUCCUUCUUCAUUUCCAGCAGGGAAGACCCAACAACUUUUAUAAUAUGGGAUUUCUUUUAUUCUCAUGAUAAUAAUGUUCAUUGUGGAAAAUAAAAAAAAAUGAUAAAAUAAAAAUCAGCCAGAAUUCCAACUUCUGGAGAUUUUGGUGUCUUUCUGCAAAGUUCCUAUGCACAUAGAUACUUUAUAAAAUUAUGAACAUACUGUACAUACAGUUUUGGAAUAUGCCUUUUUCCUUCUGUCAUGAAAAAGUCUUCAAAUGCCUUUUAACAGCUACACAAUAGUUCACUACAUGAACCAACUCAAAUGUAACUAUUUUUGGCCUUUUGUUAUAAAUAACACAAGAACCCUCAGUCUUUGUUACAUAAUGUCCUAACAGAGUAGGGGAAAUGCUCCCCAAUCCGGUGCAAUGUCCUGUGCCCAGGGAAACCAAUU
rnacentral:lncRNA from 1 species